rnacentral:rRNA from 1 species
GACAGAGGGUGCAAACGUUGUUCGGAAUUACUGGGCGUAAAGCGUGUGUAGGCGGCCAUAUAAGUCGGAUGUGAAAGCCCUGGGCUCAACCCAGGAAGUGCACUCGAUACUGUGUGGCUUGAGUACUGGAGAGGUUGGUGGAAUUCUCGGUGUAGAGGUGAAAUUCGUAGAUAUCGAGAGGAACACCGGUGGCGAAGGCGGCCAACUGGACAGAAACUGACGCUGAGACACGAAAGCGUGGGGAGCAAACAGG